UACAUAGGUCUCAAGCGUUGUUCGGAUUCAUUGGGCGUAAAGGGUGCGUAGGCGGCGCGGUAAGUCGGGUGUGAAAUCUUGGAGCUUAACUCCGAAACUGCAUUCGAUACUGCCGUGCUUGAGGACUGGAGAGGAGACUGGAAUUUACGGUGUAGCGGUGAAAUGCGUAGAUAUCGUAAGGAAGACCAGUGGCGAAGGCGGGUCUCUGGACAGUUCCUGACGCUGAAGCACGAAGGCCAGGGGAGCAAACGGG
rnacentral:rRNA from 1 species